CACGUAGGGUGCGAGCGUUGUCCGGAAUUAUUGGGCGUAAAGAGCUCGUAGGCGGUUUGUCGCGUCUGCCGUGAAAGUCCGGGGCUCAACUCCGGAUCUGCGGUGGGUACGGGCAGACUAGAGUGAUGUAGGGGAGACUGGAAUUCCUGGUGUAGCGGUGAAAUGCGCAGAUAUCCGGAGGAACACCUGUGGCGAAAGCGGCCACCUGGACUGCACCUGACGCUGAAACGCGAAAGCUAGGGGAGCGAACGGG
rnacentral:rRNA from 1 species